rnacentral:rRNA from 1 species
UACGGAGGGAGCUAGCGUUGUCCGGAAUUAUUGGGCGUAAAGAGCUCGUAGGCGGUGUGUCGCGUCAGCCGUGAAAACCUGCAGCUUAACUGUGGGCGUGCGGUCGAUACGGGCAUCACUGGAGUUCGGCAGGGGAGACUGGAAUUCCUGGUGUAGCGGUGAAAUGCGCAGAUAUCAGGAGGAACACCGGUGGCGAAGGCGGGUCUCUGGGCCGAUACUGACGCUGGAGGAGCGAAAGCGUGGGGAGCAAACAGG